CUGUCUAUGUACUCUCCCACGCAAGAUUCCCGUCAAUUUUCAAUCCCUAAUCUGGGAAAACUGUCUAGGAACUUAAUACACAAGUCAUUCAGAUUGCUUUGCUCCAUCAUCUGUGUUACUUAGCCCACCAGCCAUGGCUUGUGUAGAUCUAGCUCUGCUGUCAUCUGAGUGCAACAGUCAUGGACAUAGUUUAAAGUACCCCAUUGAGAGGGAGCAGAAUAUCAGUGAGAGUGAGGCCGAGGUCGAGGAGAUUGGCUAUCUCACAUGUAGUGAGAGUGAGGAGAACUUCGAUGUCUGCAUAGCAUUUUGGUCAUCACUGUCAGCAGGCAAAAAAGCAGCAAUAAUUCAAGCUGAGGAGUGUCUGGUGACAUUGGAAAACAUUGGUAUGAAAGAUGCAAGACAAAUGCUAGCAAAGAUACAGAGGGGUGAAGCAGAAAUCACAGCGUUGACUAAACGGAUAAAUAACCUUGAAAAAGACCUAUUGGGAGAUUUAGGUGUAUCGAUGUUGGGUGAUCAGAACAUUGUUAUCACGAUUCCCUUAGUUGGUCCAAAAGCUGAUAAUCUUGCAAAGGGACUUUUCAGUCAUCCAUUUUAUUUAGAGAAAUAUCGCUACAAAGCACGUCUUCAAGUGUGCAUGAACGACAGUGGAGAACAGGGAGGAAGUCUAUCUGUGUUUGUCCACAUCAUAAAAGGGGACUUUGACAGUAUUCUGGAUUGGCCUUUCAUACAUAUGUUUGCGAUUAAAGUAAAAAAUCAAAAAAAGCGAGAAGAUGAUAUUGUUAACACUCUCCAACCAGUUUCAAUAGGCAUUCAAAAGCCGGAAGUAGACCGAAACAUAACAUUUGGAAGCCGAAACUUUGAGUUGGUAACUGAAAGGUUCAUCAAAGAUGACAGCAUCGAUAUUGAAUGCGAGGUACUUUGGAAGUGCAUGUAACCACACUUUUCACAACUAUAAUCAAGCCACUACACACACAACGAACUAUAAUAACUCUCAUUUUGUGCUUCAAUGACUGUAAGAAUUUUUAAUGCUAUUCAGA